AAACUCCAGAGUUCUGCUGAAGAGGACUGAACAAGAUUCAUUACUAUAUCUCGAAAAAAAAAAUCAUUACCGUAUUAUAAGUCAGUCGAAAACUAUCCAAAAAUCUUUUCAGGUUUCCAUGGCGUCGACGAACUCGCUCACCGCUCAGAUUUCUAAUCUUCAAUGGAAGCCUUUCGUCUCGUCACUGUCUCGCAGUAACAUUCUCUCUCUUCGCUUUGUUAAUCUUUUUAUUUAGUGAUGUAAAAGUUAUAAAAUUUUGUGUAGAGUUGGGUUAGAAGUGAGAAGCUAUUGAAAAAAUGGGGAAUUUCGAUUCGUUUGGAGUUUGCUUUUCGGUAACCUAAGUUUAAGUGGAAAUUUAGCUCGCAAGGAGGUCUGUUCAUGGUCUUGUCAUCAGACACCUGCGCGUAGCAUUAGAUCUCUCCAUGUAAAUGGUCUUUUUGGAGGGAAGAAAAACAAUAAUGAUAAGAGUGAUGGUGCACCUUCAAAGGCAGGAGUUCUUGGAAAUAUGCGGAAUCUUUAUGAGACAGUAAAAAAGGCACAAAUGGUUGUCCAAGUUGAGGCUGUGCACGUCCAGAAAGAAUUAGCUGCUCAUGUUGUUACUAAAUGCAUUUUGCUCUGAACUUCCGGAUUCAUUCAACUGGUAUAAAGUCCCUGUGUUUUUUUGUGUUACAGAGCAGAGUUUGAUGGAUAUUGUGAAGGUGAACUAAUUAAGGUAACAUUAUCUGGCAAUCAGCAACCAGUACGCACAGAGAUCACUGAGGCUGCAAUGGAAUUAGGUCCAGAGGAUACAACUCAACACUCCCCCUCAAGCUGGAGCAUAUAAAUCAUAUGCACCAAGCUUGUUACAAAUGAAAUUAAUUCGAGGCCCUCGAAGAGAUUUAGAUUUGAGGAAAUGUGGAGAGCAGUCUGAUUAUCACAAAAUAAUAACAUUUGUGAUAUUUUUGUAAACUUUAAUUCUUGGAUCAACUGCUUCAACCAGAUAAGCUCACAAGUAACUAAGAAGUAGAACGUCUGUCAGAUGAAGAACCUGCCCAGUCAGCAUCUGAAUACCCAACGAUCUGAGUAUGUCCUUUAUUUUCGUAUAACAAUCCUUUUUCAGGUGUCCUCUUAAUGUACCUCAAGAUCCGAAUAACUGUAUCCCAAUAACUGUCACAUGAAGACUGAAGGAAUUGACUUACCACACUGACAGCAAAAGAAAUAUCUGGUCCUGUGAUGGUGAGAUAAUUAAGUUUUCCAACAAGUUUUCGAUAUCUCCCAGGAUCUACAAGUGGCUCCCCCUGUCCAGGUAAGAGCUUAGUAUUAGGGUCUAUGGGAGAGUCUAUAGGUUUGCAAUCUAACAUCCCUCUUUCUUUCAGAAUAUCCAAUGCAUACUUCCUUUGAGAGAUGACAAUUCCAGAUUUAGAUUGGGCGACUUCUAUACCAAAAAAGUAUCUGAGUGGACCCAAAUCUUUGGUUUGAAAAUGACUAAACAAAUGCUUCUUUAAUUGCUCAAUACCCUCAUGGUCACUUCCUGUAAUAACAAUAUCAUCAACAUAGACCACUAGAUAGAUACAUUUGCCGUGUGGAGUAUGUCUAUAAAAUACUGAAUGAUCAGAUUCACUUCGUAGCAUGCCAAAUUCUUGAAUAACAGUACUAAACUGACCAAACCAAGCGCGAGGAGAUUGUUUUAAGCCAUAUAGAGAAAGACGAAGUUUACAAACCAAUCCAGACUCCCCUUAAGCAACAAAACCAAGAGGUUGCUCCAUAUAAAUUUCUUUUUGCAAUUCACCAUGAAGAAAGACAUUCUUGAUAUCUAACUGAUGCAAAGGCCAAUGGCCAAUUGCAGCCAUAGAGAAAAAUAGGCGAACAGAUGACAUUUUAGCAACCAGAGAGAAAGUCUCAUAAUAAUCAAGACCAAGAAACUUUCCCUAUUAUUUACUGAGGCAUACAAAGAUGCACACCAGAAGAGUGUUCAGGCGAUGAAAGAAAGAAUAAUUGAUCUUGCACAGAGCUUAGGAAUGCCACAAGGCUUAAGGGAGGGGUUAAAGUAAGAGAAUUU